GCGAGAGUGGUGGAAUCUGGUAGACACGCAAGCUUGAGGUGCUUGUGGAAGAAAUUCCGUGGGGGUUCAAAUCCCCCCUCUCGCA
rnacentral:tRNA from 1 species